rnacentral:sRNA from 1 species
AACUAUUAAGUAUUGUUCAAAUUCAGAAAAUUAAAAGUGAAGUUUAGAGUUUUCAUUAGGGAAAAAUGUCAAAACAAUCACGAAUUUUCAAAUUUGGGACGAUUUAAUCUUGAACUUCACGGAAGACAAAUAAAUCAUAAAGUUUUUGUUCACUUUCGAAAUAAAUGACAAAGUUUUUGUUGACUUGUCAUUUGAGUCAUGUCGUUAAGUAGGUUGACAUAAUUUUUUUACGGCGUUAAUGUCUCGUUUAUCUCCUCUGUUAGAACAAAACAACGUUGUUUAUUGCAGCUCGUUUUCUCUAUUGAAACAAAUUUAAACCUUAAAUUCCCAAAUCGAUUUUAUUAUCUGCGAUUUUGAGGUCAAUGUGGGUAUGUGAUUUUGAGAUAAUGAAAUCGAUUUAGGGGUUUAUAUUUAUUUCAAGAGACAAAACAACGUCGUUUUAAAA